GUGUGAUUUCGCGACGAAAGAAAUCGAUCUCAUUGUGAUGAUUAGGACCGUAAUGACGACUGUAAAGACCAUCACUGUCUUGAUCCGACUUUAUGCUUAGAAUCAUCUUGAAGAUUAUUCCCCCGACUUCGAGACGAAAAAGGAGGAGAGAGAAGGAGGAAAAGAGACCGAAGAGGAGGAGAAAGAGAAAGAGGAAUUGAGACCGAAGAGGAGGAGAGAAAAAGAGGAAGAG